GCUACAACCACCCUCAUAGGACAUGGAACGACAAGAGGUAAAGGAGCUACAGCUACCUCUGGGCCAAUCUCUGGAAAGACUCUAGAACCUGGGAAUGACAACACAGAGGCCACGAGUUCCACAGGAGGGGGCUGGACCAC